ACGCCGAGCCCCGAGGCAGCGGAGCGGCGGCGGCCCCGGUGCCUGCGCCGCUCGGGGGCCGGGCUGGGCGGGGCCGGACGUGAGCGCACUUCCGCGGGGCGGCGGGGUCGCCAUGGCGGCAAAAAGUCCUCCUGAUAGUACUCCAAGAAGGCCUGUUUUAUCUGUUAGUGCAAGAAAAAUUAAAGAUAAUGCAGCAGACUGGCAUAAUUUAAUGAUGAAAUGGGAGAGACUGAAUGAUAAUGGAUUUACUGCAGCAAACAAAAUAGUCAACAUGAAGAUCAAUGAGCAAUUUCAAGACAACAAACUGGAGAUAGCAUGUGAUAACAGUGCCACAGAACCUGAAAAGUCCACCCCAAAAUACAAUGAAGAGCUAGACAAUUGCUGUGCAGAAUUACUUGAGACCUUAAAGCAUAUGACAAAAAUACAACUGAAAAUGGAAAAGCUUACUUCAACUACUAAAGCAAUCUGUGACUUGGAAACAUUCCACCAUGGAGCUGGGAAUUGCAAGGCUCCCUUCUUUCAUACAUGGCCCACACCAUAUUUCUAUGAGGUUUCUCUGAAGCUAUCUGAAAUGUACAAGAAGGAGCUACAACUCAAGCAAACAAUUGUACAAGACAUUGCUCAUUCUGCUGACCAGGAUCUGAUGAUGGUGUAUUUGUCGUCGUGGCUCUACCAGCCUUACAUUGAGAACAGCAGCAUGCUGCUGCUCGAAGCCAUGCUGCUGGAAACAGGACACAGGCAGUGCUAGAAUUCCAAAGGUUACAUGGCUGGCUUCUAGUGAUGCUUAUAUGAAACUGAACUGGCAUAUUGAAAGGCUUACCAAUUGAUGAUAUUUUGGACUGUGGCAAUUUCCUGCACUCGUUGGUAGGCCAGUGCUCUGCCUGGCCCCUGCCUGCUCCAUCAGGGAGCUGCGGAGCUCAGGAGCUGCCGGUGCCCCUGCCGCGCUCCCGCUCACAAAGCGCGCCUGAACCAGCCCGGCUGAGCCAACUGCUCCCACAGGCAGCACCACUUCAGAGUGCAGCAGAGAUCCUUCACCUGCCACACCUGCUCCCUGCAUCCCUGCAGGCUGGGGAUACUCUAUCCUCAUUUCCACUGUUUGGGAGAAGGUACCUGAAUUUUCACCAUCAAUUCGAACUCCUGAAUCAGCAAGUGAAUUAUGUUCCUCUGCUGUCUUUAAUGUACUUCCAGUUGUACAGCAAGUGAUAUGCCUGUCUUCUGAAAGCAGGAUUUCUCCAUUUAAUGGAUUAAAACCUGAAAAGGAGGAAGAAAUAUUAUUAUUAUUAUACAUGUCAAAAACCCUAUAUUUCAGCAAAAAUUUUGGAGGAAAAGCUAGACUACUUCUCUGCUUUGCUUCCCCCAAAUUAGCAAACCUGAAGCACAUUACAGGAGUUUCACAGAACUUCCCACUGAGAAAGUCACUAUAAAAAUAUUCAAGGAAUUUUUGAAUAGUGAUAGUUUAUCAAGUACUUCUGUAUUAAGAGACCUUACAUUUAGAGGCAGCAUUUUUCUGUUCAUCCUGAAAACAACCUGGGCUCAAAGGCAAACUCAAUUUUCUUCCAUCUGUCAUGCAGCUAGUAACAUUAAAAGAUAAAGACUUUACCAGGCACAAACUUGUGAGCUGCUCACCCUGAUCACUUUUAGUAAGUUGAGGGAAGCGUUUAAACUUCCAUUUAAAUUUCUACUCCUAAUCAAGCUCAUCCUGAACUCUGAUAUGUCAUCAGGUUGCUACAUAUUAAUUAGCUGUGCUAAGAGCCCCAGCAACACUUUUGUCCUGUGCCAGCAAAGGUCAAAACCACAAGAAAUGCAGUGUUCUACCAGUUACUUGACCUGGACCUGACCAGGCUGCCAAACCCUGAAAGUAGUUGGACAAUAACUUCUAAGCUGCAGUAGUAUGAGCUGUCAGUCUUUAUUAUUAAAGGUCAAAAUUAACAAGUAAGUUGGUUUGGUUUUGGGGUUUUUUGUUAUGAAAGAUACCACUGCACAAAAAAGAGACUUAAGACUGCAGAGAGGACUAUUUUUAACAUUUUGCACUGUAGACUAGCAAACACCCUACUAGCAGGUGCAAACAAAAUGUAAUUUUAAAAAUUCAUAGCCCAGAAGAAAAUCAUAGUGCAGCAAGAAGCAAGCAUGGUCAUGCAGAGAGCCUUUCAGAAAAAGAAAAUCUAAUGGAGGGAAACAAAAAUAACCAUUUGACUGAAAGACAUACAAAGGGCAAAAGCAAAGGCACUUAGCAACACCAACACAAGGUAUUUACAAAGUGGAUGGUACUGACAGACAUAUCUUACCAGAGAUUUACUUUCCUUUCACUAUUGCCCUGCUAAUCUGAAGGGCAGCAGGAUGAAACAUGAAGAAUGAAUAAAAACAGAGGCAACCACCUGAAGACUGUGGUGCCAAAUGGUGCCUCAAUUCCAAUACAAGAUGUAUUCCAGUGAUUGAUACAGAACAGCCUACACCAGCUCUCCCUUUCCCCCAGGUUCCACAAAGCUCUGGUAAUUCUGCUAUGGUAGCUGGCUGGGGCCAGGAGGAAAGAUGUGCACUCUGCUUCCUCUGCUCUCCCACAGCUGCCACAUAGUUGUGCACUCAGAGGGACAGGACAGACAGGAAGCACACAGCAGAGGACACUACUAUGCUCAUAAGUACUAUCAAUCACUGAUUAUCAUGUAUGCAGCACUACUACUGUCUGCAUCAUCUGUAACUUUUCCCUCCUCAUGAGACCUUUCCACUUAAACAACUGCUUUUGAAGGACCUGGGCAGCAAGUUAAGAGAUGAAACUGUAAGACAAAAACCACAGUAGCUUGAAGAACAAAGAUUUGUUCAGUUCCUCCAUGAACAGAACUGGAAAAUCUGAAGAAGUUACCAUCUUUUCCAAACAGUGUACACAAAUUCCCACUCCUUUCUUUCACUUCAUCUUGACUGGCAUAAGCAUUGUUCACAUUUUCUGUUACAUCUUCUAACUUGGUCCUUUUGGCUGGUGGCAACAGUUCUUCCCCUGAGCCCUGUCAAUACAAGAGAUGAUUAACUGCAGCCCGUAACAGUUGACAAUACUGGAAAAGAAAACUGUGGGAACAUCAUGGCAGUGAACUGAUGAACCUUGAAAACAGGAUUUACACUAAAGGUCUUCCUAAGAGGUAAGGAUUUAAACACAGCCCUUACACUUCACCAAAACUCCAAGGGGACAAAACACAGCUCUCUGCUACAGCUAUAAACAAGACUGAAGCUCAUCAACUGACUUGUCAGAAAGAAAUAACCUGUUUUCAUGCCCCUCUACCCAAUUAGCAUAUCAAUCACUUCUCCAGUGUCUGAACCUGCUGUAGAUUAGGCCAUUUCCUCUAACACAGGCUGGAAUUUGUGGAGUUUCCAGUUACCAGCACCUCAAUUAAGUUCUUUUGUCCCUGUAUCAAACACCUGUGAGUCUUUGAUACUCUGUCCUGAAUGCUACCAAGGGUCUUACCAAAGCCCAUACUUAGUGUGCUAGUUUAUAUGCCCUGCUAUGAUAAGACAGCAGAGAGUAUUUUCAGUAUUUCUGAACACCACAAAAGCCUUACUUUAACAUGACUCAGAUAAUACCAGCAUGAUUUUGUAAGUAAUAAUUAUGUAUUUUUAAAAGUUUUAAUUGGUCUUAGUUUCACUGUUAAUUUUCACAAAGGUGUUCCAUACCUCAGCUAACCGUUUUUGUCCCAGUAUGUCCACAGGCACUUGCUCACUAACCAUUUUAAUUACACAUUGUGAGUAAGAGUCUGCACCUUGCAUCUUCUGUUCUCCAUUGAGCAUUUCUGUGAUUCCUAGAGAUUCAGCAACCUUCAGAAACAGUUAUAAAGAAAAAAGUAAAAGUUAGCUUCUCAGAUCUGAAUACAUACAUGCUGAAAUAGAUUCGUUUUCUUAAAACUGAACUAGAACUACAUCAUGACUAGUCUGACAAUCACCUCAGCUCAAUGUAAGUAUUUAGACUCCCAUGUUUUCUACCAGCCUUCACACUGACACAUGACCUUCAUCUGAAGGUGACUGUUAACAGGCAAACUUGAAAGAAUUAUGGUUAUGUAUAGAAUCCAGGGACAGUUACUCAGAGCAGUGUUUAAUAAAGAUUAUUGAGACUCUCCACCAUAUAAAAAACAUUUAAGUUUUCUGUUUAGAGUAUGUCUACAUAGUUAAGGAUUUUCCCACCUCCUCACAUUCCAUUCCUGUGCUUAAUCCUUACAUAGUGUGCUAUCAUCCAGCUUCUCAAGACUAAGUUGUUCUGGGGUUUGGUUUGGUCUGGUUCUUUUUUAAAGAGCAUCAUUCUGUAUUAAGAAUGUACAUGAACACAGGAAAGAAACAAGAAACAGGUUCAUCUGUCUUUCCAGAUACAGCUCCAUAAACAAUGAAUCUGGAGUCACUGAAAUAACAGUUUGCAAUUUUAUUAGUGUAGUCACUACCUUUCAUGUUUAUUAAUGUGACUGUGAACUGCAUAGAUGCAUUCAGUUUGCCCUCAUUUUGCAAUUAAAUUUUUACUUACCUCUUUAAAUCAAGGUCACUCAUUUUAAAUAUAGACCCUCCCCUCCCUUCCUGAUCAAACAUCAGGAUGUACUUUGAUUAGUGGUUAAUGCUAAAUAAACCUUGCAGUAACAUGCAGCUUCAUAGUACUCUAGAUAUGCAAGGCAGGUAUCAGCACUGCUAGAAAUGUUUUUUAUCUUUCUAGUUGUAUCCACUGACAUAAACUAGAAUUAAAGUUUUAUUAUGGAUUUCUUUUUCUUCUUGCUAAGUUGUUGGACUUUUCACAAUAAUGUCUAUUUUUGCUAAUUAAAAAUCUUGUUGUUUUCAAAUAAAUUUACUUGCACGAGGAAAUUAAUUAUCAGAGAAAAUUAAAAAUGCAAGGCAUCUAAAAUAAAACAAGCAAACAAACCAUCCAAUCAUAGUUCCAAACAAAGUGCUUUAUUACCUUAGCAUCUUUUAUUUCAACAGGCUGUUGGCAAUUCACAGAAUCAGAAUUACUGAGGUGAUCAUAAGCCAUUUUCUUUACCAUGUUAUGCAAAUCUUCAAACUCCCUAUACACAUCUGGAAAGUAAGCUUUGGCUGGAUGUCCUUUUUCCACCUAGGAAUAAGAGGGGAAUAAAAAAGGGCUUGUUUCUCCCUCUCCUAUACUUAAAAAAAAAGAUUAAAUUAAAAUCUGUCAAUUUUCUUCUGUUCGACAUUUUAAAAUAGAAACAUUCAAGUCAAAAGACUAUGGAAUAUUCAAAAUGCCACUGAACCAGGCAGCAAAAAGCAAGGCUUUGAGUUGAGACCUACCAGAGUUUUGCCUCUGUGAGACUGAAGUGAUGUAUGGAACAUCUAUAUGCUGCACAAUAUUAAUUUAGGAAAUUCAAUUAUGUCUCUAAAGGAAUCUUUUAUGCAUACUAAUGGACAUGUCCCUAAAAUAAUAUAAUAUUUCUAUGUAAAAACUCACCUUCAUCAAGAGGAAUUCAUACACUGUAACUAGCUUUGUAAGACGUGGGAGAGCCAGCUCCAUUAAGUCUUCAUUAUCGCAUUGUUGUAUUAGCUGUCAAAAGCCAGAAUGAGAUUAUUAGGAAAAGCAGCCAACACAUUGUGCACCCCAUUUUCAGAACAUAAAAUAUCACUACUUUUUUUUUUUUUUUUAAGAUAUGCUGUAUGUUUAGGCAGCAUUAAGAAUAGAUGUAAACUAACUCCAAAAUGGGGUAAGUUACAAAACCUCAGAAUAGUUACUAGUCAUGUACAGACAAAAUUCAGUCCCACAGAUGUUGCCAAUUCAUAGAAAGAACAGCAACCUCGGUAGCUUUAGUAGCCAUAAAGGAUCUAUAACACACAGAAAACAACAAGUUGUGUUACUUGGAUUUUAAUCCCCAUUCUAUCCUCCCCCAAGGCCUUCUUUGUUGGUUUGUUUUGGUUUUUUGGGGUUCUUUUCAUUAUUUUCUUUUACUGUGUUGGAGGAGAUCCGAGUAGUAGCUAGUAACUUUCCUUCUCCAGAAAAAGGGUAACAAGAAUAUAUCUACAUGUCAGAAGUCCCUUUCCAAACCCAGUCCCCAUUUUCCCUUUUCCCAGUCUUCUGCUGGAAGUAUUUUUUUCUUAAAAGACAGCGUUUUCUUCUUAGAAGCCAUCUAAGGCUUUCAUCCUGUCCAUACAUGAGGAUGCAAAAAAAAAAAAACAAAACAAACAAACAAAAAAAAAACCAAAAAAAAAAAACCCAACCUUUUUUAAAAAUGAUUCAUUGAAAAUAAGUGAUUAAUAAAAAAAUGGGUGGUGGGGGGGUGGGAACUGGGGCAGGGUAAAAAUACUUGCAAAGUAAUUGCAGAAGAGAACCAUACCUCUUUUAACCUAGCUUUUCUUCUGAAUACAUUGUGUUCUGCUGACACACUACUAAGUGACUUUGAAGGGGACUGACCAGGUCUGCUAAGCCUUCCAGAACACCUGGAUCUUCCACCCAUCCUGGGUCGACCACGUCUCUUUGGUCGUCUGGGUCUUCCAGGUCCUUUCGGGGUUACAGGUCCCCUGCGUCCUGAACUGGUUUCAUUUGGUUGUUCUGCCAGCAAGUGUCUGCUUUCCUCACACUCUGAUGCCUUAAUUAAAAGGAAAAGUGUUUAUUCACCAUUUUAAACAGUUUUGAGGAAGACAGUUUUAAAAUUAACUUUGCAAUCUAUGCAAACAACAAAUAGCACAUUAAAAAUGCAAAGCUAGAUACAAGCAUAACUUGCAAAGAAAGUUGUGGAAUAAAUCCAACACACAAGUAAGACUACUACUUUUGCAUCACAUAUAUUCCAUUAUUAGCAAAGUUAGCAUUUCUGAACCACAAGAUAUACAAAAUAAAAAGAUUAAAUAAACAUAAUAAAAGAGGUGGUUUAAGUGGGUUAAAUACAUUAAAUAUUUUUGAAGUAAAAUAUAUCCCCUUUAGAUAAAGAGGUUGUAGAAAUAAAACUUAAUUAGCAGUAAAACAUACUCAAAGAAUAAUUUGAGUUUCGUUGUAACUAUGUCAAAGCAUGAAGACUUUAUAAGAAAGGCAAAACAUCUGACACCAUGAACAGUGACAAGGCCAGUAAUUAAAUUCCAAAAUGUACUGCCCAGUUACCACAUUUCAAAAUCCCAUUUUCCCUAGGAACACAGGUAGGAAGCAGCUUCUGUUAUAAGAUCAUACAGAAAGUCAAAGUACCUUUUAUAUGUUUAAGUUAUGAUGAUCAUUUCAGUGUAAAACUUUUUAACUGUUCGAAGCAGUGACUUCUUACAUAAGCAUCUUCCCUUUCCAAGAUAGAAUUUCUAAGAAUGUUCCAGAUCUUUCAAGAAAUUAAUUUAUAAUAGUACUGAGUUACAUCAGGCUUCUUUGCAUAAUCUGUACCUUUGCAUCCCAACAUUCAGUAACUCCCUACUAUUUUACUGAUUAGGAAAGCUCUAUAAAUGGCAAAUUUAUGUCAGUUCUAUCCAGGGAUUAAAUUACUAAAUUAGUUCUAUAUUCGACACAGGAUUAGGGGUUGAGCAUGGGGAUCUUGAUUGGCUUCCUGUCUGUAUCAAACUACAAUAAUUCAGAGAGCAGACUUCAGUACUCUGCAAUUUUCUUUUUCCAGAGAUGAUAACUGAGUGUAGAGGAUGAGGGAAGAUUUGUUUGCUGUACAUUUUCACUUUCCUGAGAACAACUUCACAAUUACAAAGUCAAGUAAUAAAUGUGACAUCCCUCCACCUAAACAAGUACUUUUUCCUAACCAGCAGCCGAAUCAGCUCUUGCUGCAAAAUAUUAAGAGUCAUUUCAAUAUUAAAAGAGAAACUUUUCUUUGAAGUGACCAGCUUAAAACAUCACAGGAAUAAAUUUGCCGCUGAGGCAGCUUCCACCCUAGAGACUCAAAUUUCACCAGUGUCUGGUGUGCAGGGUUUCAAAGCCUCACUUUGAAAACCUGCUCUAGGAAAAGUUGCAGUUCACUGUUGUGUUCCAAAUAAGAGCUUUUUCUGUGAUGACAAUAUUUCAGCAAUGGAAAAUGAGAGCAGAUGAUGUGUUGCUGUCAUGCUAAAGGCUGUAACUGAACAAGUUUUCUUAUCCAAAUGCAGAGAAGAAUGUCAUUUACGCAGACAAGGUGGAAACGGUAUGUCAGAAACGGUAAGAAAUGAACACUCAGUGAACAUUUAGUUGCAUGUGUCUGUGCAAGAGUACUAUUGCUGCAGCACUGCAAGAGACAAUUUGAUUUUUAAAGUACUUCAAUGGGAAAUUUGCUUAAUGUAGUCUAUCAGUGGAUAUUUCUGAGCAGUACAAGACUGUGCAGCUAUAGAACUGCCAUUCUACUUUCCACAGAAUUGACAAAUUUUCUAAGUAACACUUUACCUGUUCUCCAGCCUUUGAAUCAACAGUUUCUUCCAGACUGGUAGCUAGUGCUUUUUCAUGACUUAAAGUGACAGCAAUUGAAUCCAAAUGUGCUGGACUCAUCAUUUCCUCUUCCACAAAUAUACUUCCAUUAGGCUUAUUUAGAGGUAUUUUCUGAGGUGAAGGCUCCGGUUGUCCAUGGUCUGGGUUAAGUUUAUAAUGUCUUGCUAAUCCUCCUUUUCCUAUGUAAGAUUUUUCACAAGUCUGACAUUUAAACGUUUUGGGUUUCAGAUUAUAAUUUGAAGAACUGAAUAAUGCAUCCUUUCCCUUCACCUUUCCUUCUUCAUCAUCUUCUAUACUCAGCUCAGAGUAGUCAUCAGAAUCAGACUGAUGACCAUCAGCCAAAUCCUCCAUUUUAAUGAAUUUAUAAUCUUUAGCUUUGUAUUUGGGAGGGCGUGAAAUCCGUCCAGAACGAGUUUUCACCUUCAAGGAUUUCUUUAACUUGUCAUCCUUUUGCUUUUUUUCAAGGCUUUGUGUACUUGCUGAACUGGCUGCAGCCACGGUAGGUUUUGGAGACCUUGAAGCUGAUGCUGUGGCACAAGAAGCCCUCUGUCCAUUCACCAUUUUAGAUGGGGGAAUCUUGUCCCCAGACACUGACCCGUGAGAUGGUAAAGGCCUCUGCAUAAGCAACUGAACCGGAGACUCAGAAGAACUAUGCAGGAGUAGCUGCUGCUGCUCAGUUCCUGAAACAGGCUGUAUCCUAAUUAUCUGAGGAUUAAUAAUGCCAACUCCUGGUAUGCUAGAUUUCCUACCAACUGGCUGACUCAGCGUUAUAGUUUUGGACUGGAUGGGUGCCAAUGAUGUCAUUGGCCCUUCAGUUUCCUUCAUCUGUCCUGGCUGAACUUGGACACAAAUGGCUUCCAGCUGCUUUUGUGGAAAAAAGGAAGAGUUGCAAUUACACAAAUACAGUAUUAAUAAAAAAGUACAA